rnacentral:rRNA from 1 species
CACUCACCUGCCGAAGCAACUAGCCCUGAAAAUGGAUGGCGCUCUAGCGUCGUGCCUACACCGGGCCGUCAAUGGCAAAGUGGGUCUGUUCAGUCGCGGUCCGUUCGCGGGCCGUGGCGGGUUCGGACCGUUACGCUUUGACGAGUAGGAUGGUCGCGGCGGUGUGCGCAGAAGGGUCUGGGCGUGAGCCUGCCUGGAGCCGCCGCCGGUGCAGAUCUUGGUGGUAGUAGCAAAUACUCUAGCGAGGGCCUGGAGGGCUGAUGUGGAGAAGGGUUUCUUGUGAACAGCCGUUGCACAAGAGUCAGUCGACCCUAAGCCCUAGGAGAAAUCCGAUGUCGAUGGGGCAGUGCAGCAUAAGUUACACUAGUUUUAGUGAGAACUAACUGAGAAACGCUCCCCGUUCGGGCGAAAGGGAAUCCGGUUCCUAUUCCGGAACCCGGCUGCGGAACCGUAACUUCGCGGGCACUCGCCUGCGAGCGCUCGUCGGGGUAACCCAAAGUGGCCCGGAGACGCCGGCGGGAGGUCUGGAAAGAGUUUUCUUUUCUUUAUAAGCGUUCGAGUUCCCUGGAAUCCUAUAGCAGGGAGAUAGGGUUUGGAACGCGAAGAGCACCGCAGUUGCGGCGGUGUCCGGACCAUCCCCCCGGACCUUGAAAAUCCGGGUAAGGGCUACGCGGAAUGUCGCGCCGGCUCGUACCCAUAUCCGCAGCAGGUCUCCAAGGUUAAGAGCCUCUAGUCGAUAGAAUAAUGUAGGUAAGGGAAGUCGGCAAACUAAUUAGUGACGCGCAUGAAUGGAUUAACGAGAUUCUCACUGUCCCUAUCUACUAUCUAGCGAAACCACUGCCAAGGGAACGGGCUUGGAAAAAUUAGCGGGGAAAGAAGACCCUGUUGAGCUUGACUCUAGUCUGGCACUGUAAGGAGACAUGAGAGGUGUAGCAUAAGUGGGAGAUGGGCGGGCCUCAAAGCUUGUUCAUCGACGGUGAAAUACCACUACUUUCAUCGUUUCCUUACUUACUCGGAUAGGCGGAGAGCGUGUACGCCUAUGGUACAUACCGAGGCGUACCGGUAUUCUCGCGCCAAGCGUCCGAGGGUUGUCGGCACGCGUCUGGCAGGGCUUGGGUCCGCGCGGGAAAGCGGCUUGUUUACCGCAAGGUGGCUUGUCGCCGACCCCCGGCUCUUGCCUGGACUGGGCGCUGUUGACCGGCAAACACUCCCUCGCGUGAUCCGAUUCGAGGACACAGCCAGGCGGGGAGUUUGACUGGGGCGGUACAUCUGUCAAAUGAUAACGCAGGUGUCCUAAGGCCAGCUCAGCGAGGACAGAAACCUCGCGUAGAGCAAAAGGGCAAAUGCUGGUUUGAUCCCGAUGUCCAGUACGCAUAGGGACUGCGAAAGCACGGCCUGUCGAUCCUUUUGGCUUGAAGAGAUUUCAGCAAGAGGUGU